CUUCAGGGUUCCUGGGUGUCAUGCAGAUCUUGCUGGGGCCUCCAAAUGAAAGAACCUAGUGGGGAAACCCCCACUCAACUCCCUGUUCAGCGUACACCCAAGAAUCACGAAUAGAACA
rnacentral:pre_miRNA from 7 species